rnacentral:rRNA from 1 species
CAGUCGCCGCGGGAAUACGUAGGGUGCGAGCGUUAAUCGGAAUUACUGGGCGUAAAGCGUGCGCAGGCGGUGAUGUAAGACAGAUGUGAAAUCCCCGGGCUCAACCUGGGAACUGCAUUAGUGACUGCAUCGCUGGAGUGCGGCAGAGGGGGAUGGAAUUCCGCGUGUAGCAGUGAAAUGCGUAGAUAUGCGGAGGAACACCGAUGGCGAAGGCAAUCCCCUGGGCCUGCGCUGACGCUCAUGCACGAAAGCGUGGGGAGCAAACAGGAUUAGAUACCCGUGUAGUCCCUGUCUCUUAUAC